rnacentral:rRNA from 1 species
UACGCACCGUCCAAACUUUAUUCGGAAUUACUGGGCUUAAAGGGUUUGUAGGCGGCCUUGUAAGUGGGGUGUGAAAUCCCUCGGCUCAACCGCGGAAUGGCGCUCCAAACUACAAGGCUUGAGGGAGACAGGGGUAAGCGGAACUGAUGGUGGAGCGGUGAAAUGCGUUGAUAUCAUCAGGAACACCGGUGGCGAAAGCGGCUUACUGGGUCUCUUCUGACGCUGAGAAACGAAAGCUAGGGUAGCGAACGGG